rnacentral:rRNA from 1 species
AACGAACGCUGGCGGCAUGCCUAACACAUGCAAGUCGAACGAGAUCUUCGGGUCUAGUGGCGCACGGGUGCGUAACGCGUGGGAAUCUGCCCUUUGGUUCGGAAUAACAGUUGGAAACGACUGCUAAUACCGGAUGAUGACGAAAGUCCAAAGAUUUAUCGCCAGAGGAUGAGCCCGCGUAGGAUUAGCUAGUUGGUGUGGUAAAGGCGCACCAAGGCGACGAUCCUUAGCUGGUCUGAGAGGAUGAUCAGCCACACUGGGACUGAGACACGGCCCAGACUCAUGCGGGAGGCAGCAGUGGGGAAUAUUGGACAGUGGGCGAAAGCCUGAGCCAGCAAUGCCGCGUAAGUGAUGAAGGCCUGAGGGUUGUAAAGCUCUUUUACCCGGGAUGAUAAUGACAGUACCGGGAGAAUAAGCUCCGGCUAACGCCGUGCCAGCCGCCGCCGUAA